AUAGAUAUAAAUGUCACAAUAUAACCAGAGUAAUUAUUAACUAGUGGAAGUCUUACAAAAUAAAGGAUAAAUAUAGAUCGAAUUAAAGUCCAUCUUUGGCGCCAAAAAGUCAACUAGGAGACUCCACCUAGAUCAAAUCGAACUCCUCGUUGUGUGGCUCCUCUUGAAUCACCUGUUCUUCUCCUGUGGGGGUGUGAGACAGCAAGGGUGAGCUCACACAUGUUUAUCGCUCAAUAAGUUGUGGGGAAUAAUGUGCAUGAACUCACAAAAGGUGGGCGUUCAUGUGAUGUGUAAGGCUUAUCAACAAUAGAGGUUAAAGCUGAGCAUUGCUUUUAAUAAGUUAGUCAAAUUUUAUUAGCAGUUACUAAAUGUAAGUAAAUACCAAACCAUAAUAAAUAAUAGAACAAAAUUAAUAAUAAAUAUCAUGCAAUGCAUAUGACAAAUUGAAUUUAAGUUCCAUAAUUUAAUCAUGCGAGAGUCCUGAGUUGCUCUUGACCGUGAGCUCGGCUAGUAUACCAGUUUUACACUCUGCAGAGGUUGUACCCUGUACACACAAGUCAUGUUACCCGUCUGCCAAGGGGUCAUGAAUCCCAUACACCUCUACCAAGGAAGCGAGGCAGGGUAACACUACGAGGCUUUUACAAAGUUCCACUAGCUUCCGAAAACCUGCUACAGUUUAUGGGAAGAGCACUUGCAAGAAUCCCUCGUCUGACCGCCAUCGCAACAAAAUCAACCCGAGAACCUCCCUGCAUGAAACUCCCCUACUGCCCUUGCCCCUUUCAGGUAAGGUAGUCUUCCACUAGCUUUCCUAAUUAGUCAGCCAAGGGCGUCCCAUUCCACCCUUGUGGUGGCACGUGUUUCUCAAGUUAAGCUCCAUGUUCCAAUUAAAGAUAAUGAUCUUGACAUGAACAUAAAUAAAAUAACAGAAUAAUUGGAACAUGGAUAUAAUGAAGUAUUAACCAAAAACCAUAUAAAGCAAUAGCAAAAGUACCCAAGUGAUUCAAAGGUAAACAAGGUAAAAGAUAAUCAGACUAGGGUGACCUAUUGGGUCCCAUCAAAAUUAAACAUAUGCAUUAAUGAGUGAUAAUAAAGAACAUUAUUGGGUAAAAAGUGGUCAAGGGCACAACUUGCCUGGGACUUGAGAUUCCAGGUACCAGGAUGAUCCUCAGGUGACUCGUGACCUCACUGCUAGUCGUAGCAAUACAAACAAACAUGGUAUAGGCAAAAUUAACAUCACAUCAAACAUAAGUACAAACUGAAUAAUAAUAAUCUACGCGUUGCUACGAGAUCGCGGGUUUGAGACUUACUAAGAUCGAAGUUACGAUUAAGGAGUUAUGAAUUUAUAAAAGAUCUAUGUGAUUAAAAUAUUAAACUAUAUUAUAAAUUGGUUAGUAUAAAUCAUAUGAGAGAAUAUCUUAUAAAUAAUUAACUCACUUUGAUCUAAGUUAUAAAUUGACCAUAGAUCAUAUUUUAGUAGAUUAUAAUGAUAAGCAGAUUAACAUGACUAACCAACAUAAGUUAAAUAAAGAUCUAAUUAUAAAAGAAUGUGACAUGGUACAAUAAAUGUUGUUAUUGCAUAGUAAAUAUUCAUAUGAAGCUAACACAACUGGAACAGGUCAAUUCGGAGUUAAAAUGGGAAAGUUAUGAAUUUUUGAAGGUUUUAUGUAUUCGAUACAAGAUUAAUCAAGAGAUUAAUUUUAAUACAAUUUUCAUGUCAAACCAGAGAUACUAUGUGAUAAACAACAUUAUUACAAAAUUAUAGAAAUUAGAAUAGAUCAAUUUGGACUUAAUAUGAAUUUUCUAUGAAUUACACAAGUUCUAGGAAUUGUUUUCACAUUAAAAAUUCCUUUUCUAAAUUAUUUUAUACGUUUUUCUCCCUGUCUAGACUGGGCGCCAAUUAAGCAGAAACACAGGGGCCUCUGCGCAAGAGAUACUAGACUCAAUGUAUAGUUUUCUGUGGAUUGCGGGUUCAUUUGCUAAUUCUUCAAGGUCUCUUUUGCAAAAAAGGCUGGCCGAAGGUGUAUUCCCCAACCUCAGCCGCUAGAUUCACAACCUGCGGCCGAGAUUAGAUCUCAAUAACAAUUGAAUCAAUAGGCUACAAUAACAAUUGAAUCAAUAGGCUAUGUGGGCUGCCAGAUUGGUGAUCCACGGCCCGCACGCACGAAUGACCUGGACCGCCAGAUUCGCCCUGAGCAGCCAGAUUUCCCCCAAUCGAACAGGUACACCAUAGGUUGAUCUGGACUGUUGCGCACAUAUCCACGACCGCGACCCUGUCUUCUACCUUCCACCAGCCAAUCCCGGCGACGCACAGGCCCGCAAUGGAGCCCCGCGUCGGUGAGCGCCAACCACGCCCCCAGGCUCCCCUGACCGCCGCCAACAAAAAUACGAUGCGCGAGGAACCAAGAAUACGAUAGGGAAGUCCUUACCGGGUAACUCGCAGCCGCAAUCCUUGGCCACGGCAGGGUGGUGCCCCACGGUAGAGCAAUGCUCCCAGUAAGAAAUUGGGCCGAAGAUCGUGGCCAAUCCAGCCCGACGACCCCACGAAAAGCUUGAAUAGCAUCCAGCGAUCACCCCCGACUACUUCUCUGUCCCCCAACCUGGUAUACUCGCAGGGUGACGCCGGCGCAAGCUCAACACGGCAAUGGCGGACUGCGAAUAUCUCUAUCUCACUGGCGAGACCCUCGGUUGGUG
rnacentral:lncRNA from 1 species